UUAUUUUUUAAGUUGAAUAAACACUUAAUCUGAAAAGGCCAUUAUUUUGUAUUCAAUUUAUGUUUUCUUUGAUAAGUGAUUAAAGUUUAUUUUUCAAAAUGUAAACAUAAUCAUAAAAAGUACGCACCACUUAGGGAACGAAAGGAACGUAGCCAAAAUAUGCUUCAGUGAAUGUUAAUACUUGAUGAGAUAAAUGUAUUGUUUAUUUAUGUGAUAUUUUAUAAUAUUUUGUCUACUUUGGAUUGUACAGGAUGUGCUUACCUGAAUAACGGACAGGUAAUGACCCAUGUUCUCAAGACAGAUUAUGAAAACAGACAGUUUGAUUGCGCAACUCCCUAUGUAAACUUUUUAUUUAUAUUCAGGUUAUUGGAUACGUACUAAUGUUCGAUAUGUAAGUUUGUCAAAGCUAAUACUUAUUUACUGCAUGGUGAACAUUUUAACUGAAAUAAGGGAUGUAAUACAAUGUGCAUUAAUAAAUUAUGAUUGGUUUGUCUACUUUUUAAAAAUGUAUUUUCUUGUUUGAGAUGCAAUGCUUGUAAGUUCCUACUGUGCUUUUGCCAUUGACCAUAUCAACUGCUAUGUUGCAUGUUGUUGAAUGUUUAACAUGUAAUUCUGUGUUUCUGAGCAGCUCAUUGCUCUCUAUUAAACAUCAAUGAUGUCA